GACAAACGCUGGCGGCGUGCUUAACACAUGCAAGUCGAGCGGUAAGGCCCUUUCGGGGGUACACGAGCGGCGAACGGGUGAGUAACACGUGGGUGACCUGCCCUCAGCUCUGGGAUAAGCCUGGGAAACCGGGUCUAAUACCGGAUAUGACUCCAUGACGCAUGUUGUGGGGUGGAAAGCCUUGUGCGGCUGAGGAUGGGCCCGCGGCCUAUCAGCUUGUUGGUGGGGUGAUGGCCUACCAAGGCGACGACGGGUAGCCGGCCCUGAGAGGGCGACCGGCCACACUGGGACUGAGACACGGCCCAGACUCCUACGGGAGGCAGCAGUGGGGAAUCUUGCGCAAUGGGCGAAAGCCUGACGCAGCGACGCCGCGUGAGGGAUGACGGCCUGG
rnacentral:rRNA from 1 species